UACGUAGGGGGCAAGCGUUGUCCGGAAUUAUUGGGCGUAAAGCGCGCGCAGGCGGUCUUUUAAGUCUGGUGUUUAAGCCCGGGGCUCAACCCCGGUUCGCACCGGAAACUGGAAGACUUGAGUGCAGGAGAGGAAAGCGGAAUUCCACGUGUAGCGGUGAAAUGCGUAGAGAUGUGGAGGAACACCAGUGGCGAAGGCGGCUUUCUGGACUGUAACUGACGCUGAGGCGCGAAAGCGUGGGGAGCAAACAGG
rnacentral:rRNA from 1 species